UACGGCGGCCACAGCGACAGGGAAACGCCCGGACCCAUCCCGAACCCGGAAGCUAAGCCAGUCAGCGCCGAUGGUACUGCACCCGACAGAGUGUGGGAGAGUAGGACACCGCCGAAC
rnacentral:rRNA from 1 species